GGGGCUCUAGUUUAAAAAAACGUUACAUUGUGGUGGUAGAGAUGAGGUAACUCGGGUCCUU
rnacentral:tRNA from 1 species